UCCCCGUUAUCCGGGGCGGUUUCACUAGAGUUCCCACCUAAAAUGUUGGCAACUAAUGAUAAGGGUUGCGCUCGUUGCGGGACUUAACCCAACACCUCACGGCACGAGCUGACGACAGCCAUGCAGCACCUAUACAAAGACCCUUGCGAGAAUUAUCAUCUCUGAUAACGUCCUCUGUAUUUCGAACCUGGGUAAGGUUCUUCGCGUUGCAUCGAAUUAAACCACAUGCUCCACUGCUUGUGCGGGCCCCCGUCAAUUCUUUUGAGUUUCACCCUUGCGAGCGUACUCCCCAGGCGGUAUACUUAUCGCGUUCGCUUCGACACAAUCAGGGUUGAGCCUAAUUACAUCAAGUAUACAUCGUUUACGGCAAGGACUAC
rnacentral:misc_RNA from 1 species